CUUACUUCCAGAAUAAAGUGAUUACCAAGGAAUAUCUGGUGAACAUCACAGGUGAAAGGUGGCUCCCAGGAUGGGUAGUGGAAGGAAGAUGGUGGGUGGAUCAUUGCCAAUGUGAUCCAGCCCCCUUCCCGCAAAAAUUCCUGUCUCUGUAGAAUACAGGGCUUCUCAUUCCACUCCAAUUGAUUGGUAUCCGGAUUAUGAAGUGGAGGCCUAUCACUGCAGACACCACAACAGGAGCCUGAAUUCUUCAACUGGUUCUCUGACCACAACUUCGCAGGAUCUAACAGGACUGCUGAGAUCCUAUGUAAGGACCUGUGGCGCAAUCCCCUGCAAUACUACAAGAGGAUGAAGCCACCUGAAGAGGGAACAGAGAUUUCAGGGUACUCCCAGAUGUUGAGUUGAGUCUCUCCCCGAUGUUGAGUUGAGUUGAGUAUGAUGGAGCAUCACACUUUACCUAAAGCAGCAGAACUCCUGAAAAGUUACUACGGUAUGCAGGAUGUCAGUAUUCAGCAUGGUCUUAUGCACAGGAACUAAAGGAAAAACAGAUCGAGUCACAGAAAAUCAGACAGGAAGAGGGGGUAAACUUGGAUUGUAUGGAAUGAAGAAUAAACAU
rnacentral:sRNA from 1 species